rnacentral:rRNA from 1 species
ACACACCGCCCGUCACACCAUGAGAGUCGAUAACACCCGAAGCCUGUGAGCUUAACCUUUAGGAGGCAGCAGUCGAAGGUGGGGUUGAUGAUUGGGGUGAAGUCGUAACAAGGUACC